rnacentral:rRNA from 1 species
GAUGAACGCUAGCGGGAGGCUUAACACAUGCAAGUCGAGGGGCAGCAUAGGGUAGCAAUACUCUGAUGGCGACCGGCAAACGGGUGAGUAACGCGUAUGCAACCUACCCUGUACAGGGGGAUAACCCGGAGAAAUUCGGACUAAUAUCCCGUAAUAAUAUCCGGAGGCAUCUUUGGAUAUUUAAAGUUCCGACGGUACGGGAUGGGCAUGCGUAACAUUAGCUGGUUGGUAAGGUAACGGCUUACCAAGGCUAUGAUGUUUAGGGGUCCUGAGAGGGUGGUCCCCCACACUGGUACUGAGACACGGACCAGACUCCUACGGGAGGCAGCAGUGAGGAAUAUUGGUCAAUGGGCGCAAGCCUGAACCAGCCAUCCCGCGUGCAGGAAGACGGCCCUAUGGGUUGUAAACUGCUUUUCCAGGGAGAGAAACUUACGCACGUGUUGCGUGACUGACGGUACCCUGGGAAUAAGCAUCGGCUAACUCCGUGCCAGCAGCCGCGGUAAUAGUCACGUCGC